GGUGUAGUGGUGAAAUGCGUAGAUAUCGGGAGGAACACCAGUGGCGAAGGCGGCCUCCUGGGCCGCACCUGACGCUCAGACGCGAAAGCUAGGGUAGCAAACGGGAUUAGAAACCCCGGUAGUCCUAGCCGUAAACGAUGUAGACUUGGUGUUGGUGGGGUAAAAGCCAUCAGUGCCGGAGCAAACGCGAUAAGUCUACCGCCUGGGGACUACGACCGCAAGGUUAAAACUCAAAGGAAUUGACGGGGACCCGCACAAGCAGCGGAGCGUGUGGUUUAAUUCGAUGCAACGCGAAGAACCUUACCCGGGCUUGACAUGCGAGUGGUAGGGAAGUGAAAGCGGACCGACCCUUCGGGGAGUUCGCACAGGUGCUGCAUGGCUGUCGUCAGCUCGUGCCGUGAGGUGUCCGGUUAAGUCCGGUAACGAGCGCAACCCUUGCUGUAUGUUACAAGUGUCAUACGGGACUGCCGGUAUAAAGCCGGAGGAAGGUGGGGAUGACGUCAAGUCAGCAUGGCCUUUAUGUCCGGGGCUACACACACGCUACAAUGGUCAGUACAAUAGGUUGCAAAACUGCGAAGUGGAGCCAAUCCCUAAAGCUGGCCACAGUUCAGAUUGCAGGCUGCAACUCGCCUGCAUGAAGUCGGAGUUGCUAGUAACCGCGCGUCAGCAACAGUGCGGUGAAUACGUUCCCGGGUCUUGUACACACCGCCCGUCACGUCAUGGAAGCUGGCAACACCUGAAGCCGGUAUCCUAACCGCAAGGAGGGAGCCGUCAAAGGUGGGGCUGGUGACUGGGACGAAGUCGUAACAAGGUAGCC
rnacentral:rRNA from 1 species